UCCGGUUGAUCCUGCCGGACCCUACUGCUAUCGGGAUGGGACUAAGACAUGCUAGUCGUGCGCUUCUAAGCCAUGGUGGAGGCGCGGCGCACAGCUCAGUAACACGUGGUUAACCUGCCCUUGGGACGGAAACACCCCCGGGAAACUGGGGCUAAUUUCCGAUAGGUGAAGACUCCUGGAAUGGAUCUUCGCCUAAAGGGCGCUUAGGCCAUGCUUCUAGGCGCUGCCCAAGGAUGGGACCGCGGCCGAUCAGGUUGUUGGUGAGGUAAUGGCUCACCAAGCCUUUAACCGGUUCGGGCCGUGGGAGCGGGAGCCCGGAGAUGGGCACUGAGACAAGGGCCCAGGUCCUACGGGGCGCAGCAGUCGCGAAAACUCCGCAAUACGCGAAGGCGUGACGGGGCUAUCCCGAGUGCCGUCCGCUGAGGAUGGCUUUUCCCCAGUGUAGAUAGCUGGGGGAAUAAGGAGAGGGCAAGUCUGGUGUCAGCCGCCGCGGUAAUACCAGCUCUCCGAGUGGUGGGGACGUUUAUUGGGCCUGAAGCAUCCGUAGCCAGCUGAGCAAGUCCCCAGUUAAAUCCAGCGAUUUAAUCGUUGGACUGCUGGGGAUACUGUCCGGCUUGGGGGUGGGA
rnacentral:rRNA from 1 species